GAGACUUCUUUUAAGGGUCGUUAGAGAUGAUGACGUUGAUAGGUUGCAAGUGUAAAGGUCGAAAUACCAAAGCUGAGCAAUACUAAUUACCCGUAGAUUUUCUA
rnacentral:rRNA from 1 species